GAACGAGAAAGUGGAGCAAUCCAUGAGUAAAGUGGCGACCGGGUGAGUAACACGUGACUAACCUGCCCUUGAGUGGGGGAUACCUCGGGAAACCGGGGCUAAUACCGCAUAACAUCGUAAGAUCAAAGGAGCAAUCCGCUGAAGGAGGGGGUCGCGGCUGAUUAGUUAGUUGGUGAGGUAACGGCUCACCAAGACGGAGAUCAGUAGCCGGCCUGAGAGGGCGCACGGCCACACUGGAACUGAAACACGGUCCAGACUCCUACGGGAGGCAGCAGUGGGGAAUUUUGCGCAAUGGGGGAAACCCUGACGCAGCAACGCCGCGUGGAGGAUGAAGUCCCUUGGGAUGUAAACUCCUUUCGAUCGGGACGAUUAUGACGGUACCGGAAGAAGAAGCACCGGCUAACUCUGUGCCAGCAGCCGCGGUAAU
rnacentral:rRNA from 1 species